rnacentral:rRNA from 1 species
AUUGAACGCUGGCGGCAUGCCUAACACAUGCAAGUCGAACGGAAACGAUGGGAGCUUGCUCCCAGGCGUCGAGUGGCGGACGGGUGAGUAACACUUGGGAAUCUGCCCAGUAGUGGGGGACAACAUUCGGAAACGGAUGCUAAUACCGCAUACGCACUACGGUGGAAAGUGGGGGAUCUUCGGACCUCACGCUAUUGGAUGAGCCCAAGUCGGAUUAGCUUGUUGGUGAGGUAAUGGCUCACCAAGGCGACGAUCCGUAGCUGGUCUGAGAGGACGAUCAGCCACACUGGGACUGAGACACGGCCCAGACUCCUACGGGAGGCAGCAGUGGGGAAUAUUGGACAAUGGGCGCAAGCCUGAUCCAGCAAUGCCGCGUGUGUGAAGAAGGCCUGCGGGUUGUAAAGCACUUUCAGUAGAGAAGAAAAGCUUACGGUUAAUACCCGUGAGUCUUGACGUUACCUACAGAAGAAGCUCCGGCUAACUCCGUG